rnacentral:tRNA from 1 species
GCGCUCUUAGCUCACCUGGAUAGAGCAGCUGCCUUCUAAGCAGCAGGUGGUUGGUUCGAAUCCAACAGGGCGUA